rnacentral:rRNA from 1 species
AGUGAACGCUGGCGGUAGGCCUAACACAUACAGGUCGAACGGCAGCACAGUAAGAGCUUGCUCUUACGGGUGGCGAGUGGCGGACGGGUGAGGAAUACAUCGGAAUCUACUUUUUCGUGGGGGAUAACGUAGGGAAACUUACGCUAAUACCGCAUACGACCUACGGGUGAAAGCAGGGGAUCUUCGGACCUUGCGCGAUUGAAUGAGCCGAUGUCGGAUUAGCUAGUUGGCGGGGUAAAGGCCCACCAAGGCGACGAUCCGUAGCUGGUCUGAGAGGAUGAUCAGCCACACUGGAACUGAGACACGGUCCAGACUCCUACGGGAGGCAGCAGUGGGGAAUAUUGGACAAUGGGCGCAAGCCUGAUCCAGCCAUACCGCGUGGGUGAAGAAGGCCUUCGGGUUGUAAAGCCCUUUUGUUGGGAAAGAAAAGCAGCAGGUUAAUACCCCGCUGUUCUGACGGUACCCAAAGAAUAAGCACCGGCUAACUUCGUG